rnacentral:rRNA from 1 species
CCUACGGGAGGCAGCAGUAGGGAAUCUUCGUCAAUGGGCGCAAGCCUGAACGAGCAAUGCCGCGUGAAUGAGGAAGGUUUUCGGAUCGUAAAGCUCUGUUGAAGGGGAAGAAGAGCGGAGAGAGUAAAUGAACUCCCAUUGAUAUUACCUUUCCAGGAAGCCACGCCUAACUACGUGCCAGCAGCCGCGGUAAUACGUGGGUGGAGAGCGUUAUCCGAGAUGAUGGGGCUAAAGGGAGGCGAAGGCGUACUGCUAAGUCUGGGGUGAAAUGUACCGGCUAAACCGGUACAGGCUCUGGAAACUGGGGAGCUAGAGAGCAGAAGAGGGGAGUGGAACUCCAAGUGUAGCGGUGAAAUGCGUAGAUAUAUGGAGGAACACCAGUGGCGAAGGCGGCCGCCUGGCCUGUAACUGACGCUGAGGCACGAAAGCGUGGGGAGCAAAUAGGAUUAGAUACCCCGGUAGUC